AUUGAACGCUGGCGGCAGGCCUAACACAUGCAAGUCGAACGAGCGGCGGACGGGUGAGUACUGUCUGGGAAACUGCCUGAUGGAGGGGGAUAACUACUGGAAACGGUAGGUAAUACCGCAUACCAUCCGAUUUGGCCAGAUGGGAUUAGCUGGUAGGUGGGGUAACGGCUCACCUAGGCGACGAACCCUAGCUGGUCUGAGAGGAUGAUCAGCCACACGGGAACUGAGACACGGCCCAGACUCCUACGGGAGGCAGCAGUGGGGAAUAUUGCACAAUGGGCGAAAGCCUGAUGCAGCCAUGCCGCGUGUGUGAAGAAGGCCUUCGGGUUGUAAAGCACUUUCAGCGGGGAGGCGGUACCCGCAGAAGAAGCACCGGCUAACUCCGUGCCAGCAGCCGCGGUAAUUC
rnacentral:rRNA from 1 species